rnacentral:rRNA from 1 species
GGAUCCAGACUUUGAUCAUGGCUCAGGAUGAACGCUAGCUACAGGCUUAACACAUGCAAGUCGAGGGGAAACGACAUCGAAAGCUUGCUUUUGAUGGGCGUCGACCGGCGCACGGGUGAGUAACGCGUAUCAACCUGCCCACCACUUGGGGAUAACCUUGCGAAAGUAAGACUAAUACCCAAUGACGUCUCUAGAAGACAUCUGAAGGAGAUUAAAGAUUUAUCGGUGAUGGAUGGGGAUGCGUCUGAUUAGCUUGUUGGCGGGGUAACGGCCCACCAAGGCGACGAUCAGUAGGGGUUCUGAGAGGAAGGUCCCCCACAUUGGAACUGAGACACGGUCCAAACUCCUACGGGAGGCAGCAGUGAGGAAUAUUGGUCAAUGGGCGAGAGCCUGAACCAGCCAAGUAGCGUGCAGGAUGACGGCCCUAUGGGUUGUAAACUGCUUUUAUAAGGGAAUAAAGUGAGUCUCGUGAGACUUUUUGCAUGUACCUUAUGAAUAAGGACCGGCUAAUUCCGUGCCAGCAGCCGCGGUAAUACGGAAGGUCCGGGCGUUAUCCGGAUUUAUUGGGUUUAAAGGGAGCGUAGGCCGGAGAUUUAGCGUGUUGUGAAAUGUAGACGCUCAACGUCUGCACUGCAGCGCGAACUGGUUUCCUUGAGUACGCACAAAGUGGGCGGAAUUCGUGGUGUAGCGGUGAAAUGCUUAGAUAUCACGAAGAACUCCGAUUGCGAAGGCAGCUCACUGGAGCGCAACUGACGCUGAAGCUCGAAAGUGCGGGUAUCGAACAGGAUUAGAUACCCUGGUAGUCCGCACGGUAAACGAUGGAUGCCCGCUGUUGGUCUGAAUAGGUCAGCGGCCAAGCGAAAGCAUUAAGCAUCCCACCUGGGGAGUACGCCGGCAACGGUGCAAA